AGACCUCACUUUUCCCUAGGGUAAAACGGGCUUAGAAAGCAUCGAUGCAGGGCCCAUUGCCAAACAUUACAAUUUCCAGGGCUCUACACUUCAUUUCACUGACAGGUAUCAUGAACAGGGCUUUCAAUAAGAGCCAGUAGUAGGAUUUGAGUACUAGCUCUAACUGUUUGGGGACUGUGAGUAGUAUUUCUGAGCCUCAGUUUUCUUACCUAUAAAAAUAGGAAUUAGACUUAAUUACUAAUAUCCUUAUAGACAUUAUUCUUUCACCAGUAUGUUGAUAGCAGCACACCAAUCAAGUAUCUUGGUUGCUAACAACACAAACCAUUCUGAUUUUUUUCAUUUUCCUCCUGACUAAUUUAAACAGAAAAGAUGCCAUGGGAAGGAUAUUGAAUAGCUUACACAGAAUAGGUAGGAUGAAAACCAGGCUUGGCAGAAUUAGCAACAGAGGACACACUUAUGCCACUCCACAGGAACAGGGUGGUAAGAAUAGCAGUUGGUGUCUCUGCCAGUAAAUCUUAAUGGCACUCAUAUCUCUGCCAGUAAAGUUGCAUCUUUGUGUCACUUCCUUUACUUUCAUAUUUCCAGAUGUGGGUGUCCAACUGGCUCAGCCUGGGUCUGUUGCUCCUCUAGCUGCUGGGGUUGGAGAGAAGGACUAAUGAACCAUUUGGCUUGGGGAGUAGGCAGUAGAAGAGCAUGAUGACUGUCAUAGAGACUCGCAUGGACAUGCAAGCAUCACCAAGACUGGUGCCAUUGGGUGUGCCAUGCCCAGGCCUGUCAGGAUCAUAAUGAAGUAUAUUUGGCUUCACCAGCAUCACCGUAUGUACCUGUGAAACUUCAAGCCCUGAUAAAUUACUUUCUUCCAGAAAAUCCAGUUUUCCUAGCGUUUAGCCACUCUUUCAAUUUACUUUCUGUUUUACUUUAUUUUUUUCUUUAAUAACACUAUUCCAUGGAAUUUGGGGGGACUUCUGCUGGAAAAUAAGAAUUGCAGUUGUAGCUCUGACCACUUGAAGUUGUCAUUCUAGUAUGAGAAGAAAGGCAGAAUGGAGUGAAUCACUGAUUCUAACUCUUCAUUUAUCAGUGCUUAUAUAGUAAUAGAUUGGGAUCAGGAAUUAUUUCCAAUCACAAACAACUUAGAGCAGAUCUUAUAUAUUAAGAUAGGAAGGAUAUUUAGGAAAGAUCUUUUAAAGGGAAUCUUAUUACCUAAGCCUUCCAGUAAUACAUGUUUUUCUUGUUAGACUAAGUUAAAUAUUCAGAAAAUUACAUGUAAGACUAUAUCAUCUUAGUCUCUUGCAGAACAAUAUUUAUCAGAUUGCUAGUAACCUUAAUUCUGCUUCUGCUUUUUGGGGAAACCUGCUAUGGAUGUUAUACAUUAGGACCCAUAGAGUAUCUGGUGCUAUACCUUGUAUCAGAAAUUAAAUCAGAGAAAAACAUAGCUUCCUAGCUGGGUGCGGUGGUGCAUGCCUGUAAUCCCAGCAGCUUGUGAGGCUGAAGCAGGUGGAUCAUGAACUCAAAGCCAGCCUCAGCAAAAGCGAGGUGCUGAGCAACUCAGUGAGACCCUGUCUCUAAAUAAAAUACAAAAAGGGCUGAGGAUGUGGCUCAGUGGCUUAGUGCCCCUGAGUUCAAUCCAGGUAUCCCCCUGAAAAAAAAAGGUAGCUUUUCUUUUAAAAAAUGAAAGUUUCUUGCUUUUAUAAGAGAACUGUGAAGUUAGCAUAUUUUUCCUCUUCAAACGGCUCUCAGAUAGCUAAGUACCAGGUAUGUUAUAGCAACUAUUUAGGGUCGUAAAUUGCCACUUUUAUUUAUCUUCUCUUAGUUCUGAUUAUUUCUUUUAUAAGCCUUCUCACUUUCAUUUUGAAAAGGAUGAAAGAGAGAAGGGAAGUAGGAAGAGAUGGCUGGACAAAAACUGGAUGCCAGAUGAUCACCUAAAAUGCAUAGGUGACCUCAGUAGAGGAAUAGCUGCAUCCAUCACAGUAGCAUGGCAGGCACUGGAUAUCAUCAUCCCAAAUCCUCCUUUUCCAAUGGUAGUCUCUCCCAUCUCAGUGGCCGCC
rnacentral:lncRNA from 1 species